UACGUAGGUGGCAAGCGUUAUCCGGAUUUACUGGGUGUAAAGGGCGUGUAGCCGGGACUGCAAGUCAGAUGUGAAAACCACGGGCUCAACCUGUGGCCUGCAUUUGAAACUGUAGUUCUUGAGUACUGGAGAGGCAGACGGAAUUCCUAGUGUAGCGGUGAAAUGCGUAGAUAUUAGGAGGAACACCAGUGGCGAAGGCGGUCUGCUGGACAGCAACUGACGCUGAGGCGCGAAAGCGUGGGGAGCAAACAGG
rnacentral:rRNA from 1 species